rnacentral:lncRNA from 1 species
GAGAGGCAGAAUAGCUCCCUUAGCUUAUGGAUUGGAGUCUGCUCCUGAGGAAGAAGGUGUGGAUCUUGGAGCAGGAAUAUGAUUCUGGGAAAACCGGUCUAUAAGAAGAAGGAUAUUUGGAUCUGUCUACAGAGAAAGAAAGAGAUGCAUGCAAGCCUGAGCCUCGUGAAAAGAAACGCUUCUGUGGGACGUGAAAUCAGUUGUGGAAUCAAGUUUUAGAGGUGGAGGACACGUGGAGUCUAUGAAAGAAUGGAACAAGACCAGAUGCUGCAGGAGUGGGAAUGGAUAGUCAAACAUAUCCGGGCACGGGGAGGAAGAUGCUGUACAGGAUGUCCCUCCCCAGGGAAUAUAGUCAGCACCAUUCUGAUUUUCCUUCUGGAACCGCAUCGCCUGCUGGGUAAUCAGUUUGUGCGCGCUGCAAGGGAAGACCUCAGCAAAAGGAGUCCAGUGCAGCUAAGGUGCCAGGGCCAUGAAACAGCAGAACACCACUGCGCUCAGUGUCACAUUUUCAGUGAUCAUCUCUGUUUUGUUAUGCAGUGUGACCGGCUGCCUAAUGUUCCUACUGCCAUGCCUCCCUUGCCAUGGUGGAUUAUACUGGAAAACACAAAGAUAGUAACUCAGUGAAUCAAAUUAUAAUCAACAACUUGUUAAUUAUAUAUUCUUAAUAUUAAAUUUAAAAAACUUUAAGAUUUUUGAUAGAUAAAAUAUUUAGCUCUU